GGCCGGGCUGGGCGCCCCGAGCCGCCCCGGCGGGCGCUGCCCAGGCGCGCCCUGCCCGCCGCGCCCCGACGGCGAACGGAGCGGAGCGGAGCCGAGCGGGAUUACCGAGGCAGCAGCAGCAGAGGUACCAGUGCCCCCCAAGAACACUUUGCCCUCACUAUUUGCAGUGCCAGAAUGAAAACACACCACGGUCUGUCUGGCCCAGCAAACCCUGCCAAGCCUUUCUUCUGGAAGUAAAUGUCACACCUUGGAAGAGUGCUUGGCUGAACCUAUGAAAUAAUAAAAGAGGAGCAGCACUGUCUCAAUAAUGUUGAAGGAGGGUGAUUUACCUGCUCACAAGGAGCUGCUCUACAGCAUGGGACUGUGUGCUCCUCUGUCUGAAGCCUAACAGCAGCAGUGAAGACUCCUACACAACAGAUUUUGGAGGAGUCCAACUGAAACCAACCUUGCUUCUAAAAUUAUACAUUUUAAAUAGGACUGAUAAAAAAAAAAAUCUAGCAUUUAAGGUAGAUGUAGGAAGCUAAGUCAAAAAUGUCAUCUCCAACUUACUUCUAGUUUCUAAUAAUAUUAGGGCCUCUGAUUCUCUCAAGGCAUGUGUUUUAUAUUUCAUAUAAAACACAUCUUGGCUCAACCUGAUUUAAGGUUGGCUUCAAAGGAAAUAAGUAAAAAAUUACCACAAAUAAAUAUAUAAGAUCUCCACCCAAAUUUACACUGUUUGUAUAUGAUGAAAUUCCAUCUACAUUCUAUUUCCCUAUCUGUACUGUGACUAUAUUAACCUAACCAAAAAAUCUAGCCUAAGAGUUUAUAAAAAUUAAAACCAAGAAAGAACUUGAAGAACUUACAAGUUAUUCUGGGAUCCACCGAUAUCACAGUCACAUGGAGAACAGCCAUACAAGCUGUUGCCAAGACCCCAGUAUCCUGCCUGGUACAAAAAGAAAGGUUCUUCUAUGGCAAAUGUUUAAGUAUGCAAAGCAAAACAAAACUUGUUCUGCUGGAUGAACAAUGGAGCACUACUGUGCUUGGCCAUGGGAGAUUGCUCCUCUUACUGGAUAGCAGGGGUGCUCAGCCACUGCAAGAGCCAGAUAUUUACCCACUUGUACAAGCAAAUUGCUCUGUAAACAGCUAAAAUGGAUCAAGGACAUAAUUUUGCAUUUCCUUUCCUUCCUGGGAGUGCUCCUCCCCCUGCAAUUUGAUUGCACAAAUACUUGGGAGCAGAGAAAGAAAAACAAAUGUGUCAAUGCAAAUUGGGAUAAUACCAUACAGCUACAAAAUUAUUUUGA